rnacentral:rRNA from 1 species
AUUGAACGCUGGCGGCAUGCCUUACACAUGCAAGUCGAACGGCAGCACGGGAGCAAUCCUGGUGGCGAGUGGGCGAACGGGUGAGUAAUAUAUCGGAACGUGCCCAGUCGUGGGGGAUAACGUAGCGAAAGCUACGCUAAUACCGCAUACGAUCUAUGGAUGAAAGCGGGGGAUCGCAAGACCUCGCGCGAUUGGAGCGGCCGAUAUCAGAUUAGGUAGUUGGUGNGGUAAAGGGCUCACCAAGCCGACGAUCUGUAGCUGGUCUGAGAGGACGACCAGCCACACUGGAACUGAGACACGGUCCAGACUCCUAC